AGAAUCAACGCUGGCGGCGUGCCUAACACAUGCAAGUCGAACGAGAAAAUGGUAGCAAUACCAUGAGUAAAGUGGCGCACGGGUGAGUAACACGUGACUAACCUACCCUUGAGUGGGGGAUAACUGAGGGAAACCUUAGCUAAUACCGCAUAAUACCCACGGGUCAAAGGAGCAAUUCGCUCGAGGAGGGGGUCGCGGCCGAUUAGUUAGUUGGCGGGGUAAUGGCCCACCAAGACGAUGAUCGGUAUCCGGCCUGAGAGGGCGCACGGACACACUGGAACUGAAACACGGUCCAGACUCCUACGGGAGGCAGCAGUGGGGAAUUUUGCGCAAUGGGGGAAACCCUGACGCAGCAACGCCGCGUGGAGGAUGAAGUCCUUCGGGACGUAAACUCCUUUCGAUCGGGACGAUUAUGACGGUACGGAAGAAGAAGCCCCGGCUACUUCGUCGCCAGCAGCCGC
rnacentral:rRNA from 1 species